UGAAUACGAGAUGCUACGGCGUCGAAGCAGUCUAUGUCAUACUUCCAAGAAAAGCUUGCACUGUCAUAAACAAAUAAUGCCUGUACCAUAACCGACACAGGUGGGUAGGUAGAGUAUACUAAGGGGCGCGAGAUAACUCUCUCUAAGGAACUCGGCAAAAUGACUCCGUAACUUCGGGAGAAGGAGUGCCUUAUUUAUAAGGUUGCAAUAACAAGACCCAAGCAACUGUUUAUCAAAAACACAGGUCUCCGCUAAGUCGUAAGACGAUGUAUGGGGGCUGACGCCUGCCCAGUGCCAGAAGGUUAAAGAAGUUGGUUAGCAUUAGCGAAGCUGAUGACUGAAGCCCUGGUGAACGGCGGCCGUAACUAUAACGGUCCUAAGGUAGCGAAAUUCCUUGUCGGGUAAGUUCCGACCCGCACGAAAGGCGUAAUGAUUUGGGUACUGUCUCAGAGAGGGACUCGGUGAAAUAGACUUGUCUGUGAAGAUGCGGACUACCUGCACCUGGACAGAAAGACCCUAUGAAGCUUUACUGUAACCUGAAAUUGAAAUUGGACUUUAUUUGCGCAGUAUAGGUGGGAGGCUUUGAAGAUAUUCUUGCGGGAAUGUUGGAGCCAUCGGUGAGAUACCACUCUUGUAAUGUUAGAUUUCUAACUUUGUAUCAUUAUCUGGUCAAAGAACAGUUUCAGGCGGGCAGUUUGACUGGGGCGGUCGCCUCCUAAACGGUAACGGAGGCGCACAAAGGUUUCCUCUGAACGGGUAGAAAUCGUAUCUAGAGUGUAAAGGCAUAAGGAAGCUUGACUGUGAGACCUACAAGUCGAGCAGGGACGAAAGUCGGUCUUAGUGAUCUGACGGUGCUGAGUGGAAAGGCCGUCACUCAACGGAUAAAAGUUACUCUAAGGAUAACAGGCUGAUCUCCCCCAAGAGUUCACAUCGACGGGGAGGUUUGGCACCUCGAUGUCGGCUCAUCGCAUCCUGGGGCGGUAGUACGUCCCAAGGGUUGGGCUGUUCGCCCAUGAAAGCGGUACGCGAGCUGGGUUCAGAACGUCGUGAGACAGUUCGGUCCAUAUCCGGUGUAGGCGUUAGAAUAUUGAGAGGAGCCUUCUCUAGUACGAGAGGACCGAGAAGGACACACCUCUGGUGUACCAGUUAUCGUGCCAACGGUAAACGCUGGGUAGCUAUGUGUGGAGCGGAUAACCGCUGAAAGCAUCUAAGUGGGAAGCCCACCUCAAGAUAAGUAUUCUCAC
rnacentral:rRNA from 1 species